CCAAACUUGGUCAUUUAGAGGAAGUAAAAGUCGUAACAAGGUUUCCGUAGGUGAACCUGCGGAAGGAUCAUUACUAUGUUAUCGAGUCGGAACAUACGCCGCUGACCCGCGCGGUCCUCCUCUCACGGGGAGGCUUACGUCAAGGUUACGGUUCAUGUGUUCACUCCCUCACCCCAUGUGAAACCUUCACCUUUGCUUCGGCAGCGCUGAGCGGGCAACCGCGACGGUAAGGCUGUCAGAAGCUUCUUGCAAAACUGUUUGAUGUAAUUUCAUGCUGUCUGAUAAUCCUUUUCGCCCGAGAAAUCGGAUGAUACCAACGUUAAAACUUUCAGCAACGGAUCUCUUGGUUCCCGCAUCGAUGAAGAACGCAGC
rnacentral:misc_RNA from 1 species